AGACCCGUCUACACUGCUUGUUUUUGUGCAAAAACUUGUUGCGCAAAAAGCAUUGGCAGAGAAUAUGACAGAGCAUUGGCAGAGCACUUCAUUAGCGCACUCUCUGCUGACAAAUACCUGCAGUGUGGAUAGCACAGAAAUCUCAUGUUUUGCAAAUAUUCCUUUUGGUUCAAUGGUUUCCUUUGCAAGUUACAGAAAUAAUAUCUUUGUUUGUCUUAGUACUGUAUCUGAUUUUACCCCUACAAACUGCUGGAUUUAUUUAAAAAUGUGUAGGGUGUGCUGUUUAAAUGCAUUAUAACUCUGAGAUUUUAUUUUACAUAAACACCAGAUUUACAAACAGAGCAGUCAACCACAUCCCUAAUUUGGAACCAGAAGAACGCAAUCAGGCAGCAGCAGAGACUCCACCCCUAAAAAGCAAAUACACUACAAUACUAUGUUAAAUAUAAGCUACUAAAAAAUGGAAGAUUAAAAAAAAAUUGGCACGAAUUUAAUCCAAUAAAGGAUAUCUCACCCA